rnacentral:misc_RNA from 1 species
AGUCAAUCAUAUUAAAAUUAUAGUUUUAGAAGGGUAUUGCCUAUGGAGACUUUACUCCGGCAAGCAUGUAAAGAAACACAUUGCCAGGGAAAAAUUUUACAAGACUGCAAAAGACUUGAGAACCUCCCGCAACAAAGCAUGUGAGGCCUGUUUGGACUUUGGACAGCCAACCAUUCAACAGAAACAACAAGGUGAACUGAGAUGAAGAUUUCAGAGUGCUUUCAUAAGAUUAAAGGUCCAAGGAAUUCACUCCACAUUUUUGCUCACAGCUCCUCCAUGUGGAAUGCACAAGAGAGAUCCCAAUAUUUCCUUCAAGUAUUCUAGAUAUGAUCCUCCUGUGCUCAACUUACCUCCUUCAGAUUGAAGGUCAAUGUAUACAAGGAACUCGCCUGCAAUUCUUUAAAUCAUGGGGCAAGAUGAUCAGUCUCUCUCAAUUGCAUGUUAUUCACAAAGCCUCCCUAAGACUGAAUGUUCUAGCUAUGUCCCUGGCAUUGUCAUAAUCAUUCAGCUCAACCAGCAUCUUCUUCAAUCUACGGGCCAGUCCAUUGGUCUCAGUUUCAGUCACACCUGAUGCAUACUUUUUCUCCAAUGUCCUUCCCAAUGACCUUACGUGAUCCACCAAAGGUCGCAACUUAUGGCUGUGGUCCCCAGUAACACUUGGACCAGCCCACACACCAGAUAUAGAAGCGAUGAUUCUUUCGGUUCUUGUAACAGCAUCAUGAACAUUAGAUGCAAUACUUCGAACAUGAGGUAGAACCUUCCCACACAAAAGCUCAUCAAGAGCAAGCUUCUCCAGAAUUGGCAAUGCCAGGAUAUCUUUCCAUAAGCAGAUAUUUUUCAUCAAACGAACUGACAUCCCAAACCGAUAUGCAGCUACUCG